AGGACUAACGCUGGCGGCGUGCCUAACACAUGCAAGUCGAGCGGGGUAGCAAUACCCAGCGGCAGACGGGUGAGUAACGCGUGGUCAACCUUCCGUUGAAUGGGGGAUAACUAGCCGAAAGGUUAGCUAAUACCGCAUACGAUCUUUUGAAGGCAUCUUUAAAAGAUGAAAGGAGCAAUUCGUUCAACGACGGGACCGCGUCCCAUUAGCUAGAUGGUGGGGUAAUGGCCUACCAUGGCAACGAUGGGUAGCUGGUUUGAGAGAGCGACCAGCCACACUGGGACUGAGAAACGGCCCAGACUCCUACGGGAGGCAGCAGUGAGGAAUUUUCCGCAAUGGGCGAAAGCCUGACGGAGCGACGCCGCGUGUGGGAAGAAGGCCUUCGGGUCGUAAACCACUGUCGAAGGGGACGAUAAUGACGGUACCCUUGGAGGAGCCCCGGCUAACUACGCGCCAGCAGCCGC
rnacentral:rRNA from 1 species